rnacentral:tRNA from 2 species
GCCCCCGUAGCUCAGGGGAUUAGAGCAGGACAUUCCUAAAGUCAAGGUCGCAGGUUCGAAUCCUGCCGGGGGCA